rnacentral:rRNA from 1 species
UGGGGAAUAUUGGACAAUGGGCGCAAGCCUGAUCCAGCCAUGCCGCGUGUGUGAAGAAGGCCUUUUGGUUGUAAAGCACUUUAAGCGAGGAGGAGGCUACUUGGAUUAAUACUCUAGGAUAGUGGACGUUACUCGCAGAAUAAGCACCGGCUAACUCUGUGCCAGCAGCCGCGGUAAUACAGAGGGUGCGAGCGUUAAUCGGAUUUACUGGGCGUAAAGCGUGCGUAGGCGGCUUUUUAAGUCGGAUGUGAAAUCCCUGAGCUUAACUUAGGAAGUGCAUUCGAUACUGGGAAGCUAGAGGAUGGGAGAGGAUGGUAGAAUUCCAGGUGUAGCGGUGAAAUGCGUAGAGAUCUGGAGGAAUACCGAUGGCGAAGGCAGCCAUCUGGCCUAAUACUGACGCUGAGGUACGAAAGCAUGGGGAGCAAACAGG